rnacentral:tRNA from 1 species
UGGGGUAUAGCCAAGUGGUAAGGCAACGGGUUUUGGCCCUGUGAUUCGGAGGUUCGAGUCCUUCUACCCCAG